UGGCUCAGUGGUAGAGUGCUUGCCUCGCAUGCAUGAGGCUUUGGGUUCGAUUCCUCA
rnacentral:tRNA from 1 species